rnacentral:rRNA from 1 species
UACAGGGGGGGCAAGCGUUGUUCGGGAUUACUGGGCGUAAAGGGUCUGUAGGUGGCCAACUAAGUCAGACGUGAAAUCCCUCAGCUUAACUGGGGAACUGCGUCUGAUACUGGAUGGCUUGAGUGUGGGAGAGGAAUGCGGAAUUCCAGGUGUAGCGGUGAAAUGCGUAGAUAUCUGGAGGAACACCGGUGGCGAAGGCGGCAUUCUGGACCAUAACUGACACUGAGAGACGAAAGCCAGGGGAGCAAACGGG